rnacentral:rRNA from 1 species
UACGAGGGGGGCAAGCGUUGUUCGGAAUUAUUGGGCGUAAAGGGUGCGUAGGCGGUCUGACAAGUCUGAUGUGAAAAUCUAUGGGCUCAACCCAUAGUCUGCAUCGGAAACUGUCGGGCUUGAGUAUGGGAGAGGUGAGUGGAAUUUCCGGUGUAGCGGUGAAAUGCGUAGAUAUCGGAAGGAACACCUGUGGCGAAAGCGGCUCACUGGACCAUUACUGACGCUGAGGCACGAAAGCUAGGGGAGCAAACAGG